GUCUCUGUUUUGUUCCUCUUAAGGUUGUCACUUCUAUGCCUAAUGAUUAUCUCAUUGGUUCCAGGACAUUGUUACCAUUUACCUCCACUGGAUAUCUAUUUUCUUUCAAAAAGCACAAUCAACGUGCCUUUUCCCUGAUUUUCUCUGCCAAACAUAUCAGAUUGUGGGAGGUUUAUGGAUACACAGUACUUCACAGGCAACCUGAAAGGUCCCAAUUUGGGCCCCGAGUCUGCUGGAGAAAAGAGAAAGGCUAAGAAGCAGCCUACCUUACCUGUGGCUCUGGGUCUGAGGAUGGCCAGGAGAACAGAGAGCAAAGCAGAGCCAAUGCAAGACCUCUGGCCCUGGAAGCCGAAGGGUAAGAACAGAGAGAAACCUUGGAGAACAUUCUUGCAUAGAAUUUAUCUAAUAGUGACAGAAAAAAAGGAGGCUAUAAAUAAAGCCCUCCUGAAAGAAGGUCUCUCACAGGUCAACGCAGGAUCUACUCCAUCAUCAUCUUCACUAGCACACCCAGUUCGAUUGAGGAGCCUUGACGUGGGAUAUUGAUGGGAUAUUGAGAGAAAAGAGAAAUGGUGAAUCAAGCACUAAUCUCAAAGCUUCUGCACAGAACUACUUACAUGUCACUUCCUCCCAUGACUAUUCCUAAAUUCAGCCAAAAGGGGACACAUAAUCUCUUACGGGGGAGGGCACCACGGGGAGAGAAACCCGAAUAUUUGGUGAAUAGUAACACAAUCUACUUUGUUAUAGAAUCUGUCCUCAAUGGUCUUACAGUCUAAGAGCAUUACAUUUAGUUACGGUAGUCUUAAAUAUGAUACUAAAUGAAUUGAAUAGCCAGACAUCUGUGAAAGUAAAACUGUGAUAAUACAAAGUCAGUGUGCUUUUAAGUUUCAAUUGCUUAAAGUUAUUUGGAAGUAAGGAUCACAUGAGUUCAGAGCCCCAGGAUUCAAAAAUAACUCCGGAAUCUUUUAUCACUCCCCAAAGGAAAAGCAAUAAUAAGUAAGUUACCAGACAUUCAUGUAAUCUCUCUGAAACUGUAAGACUAACAAAGGAAAAUUUUCAAAAGGCAGAAAUACUUUAUUAUUUAUUUGCAAUAGAAAUUAUUCAGCCGGGCGCGGUGGCUCAUGCCUGUAAUCCCAGCACUUUGGGAGGCCGAGGCGAGUGGAUCACCUGAGGUCGGGAGUUCGAGACCAGCCUGACCAACAUGGAGAAACCCCGUCUCUACUAAAAAUACACAAUUAGCUGGGCAUGGUGGCACAUGCCUGCAAGCCCAGCUACUCAGGAGGCUAAGGCAGGAGCGACAGAGCGAGACUCCAUCUCAAAAAAAAAAGAAAGAAAGAAAGGAAAAAAAGAAAAGAAAAGAAACAAAGAAAUUUUUCAGUAAAUACAUACAACAGCAUUGAUGGCCUGGAGACAUACCACCUUCAGUUGUGAUCCUGGCAGAUGUGAUAGAUUCUACAAGGUUGGACAGGUUAAAUUCUUGCAAGGAAGUCCUUUCUGGAACACCCAAGAAUUACAGAAAGUUUAGCUAUCUUUCAGAUGAGAUUUCAUUCUCAGUUUUACUUGUUCCAUGACCCUUCCAAACUACACACGGGAUUCUUUUCAUUCAGUUGCCUUGGCCAGCAUUUUAUCACCAAUAGUCCUAUUUUAUGUAACUGAGUUUGCCUUGCCCUUUACUGCAUUUAGGUAAAUGGAAUGGUGUUUUUUAGACUUCCGAAACUAUUUGUAGACCUUUUCCUUCACAAGUUUGAAAUAGAUGUGAGGCAUUCAUUUUACUCAGACAACAUUGAGCCCAAUUCACUUGGGAAAAUGCAUCUUGAUGUGUAAUUCAUCAUCCAGAGCCUGUCCACUAUUCUGUUCCUCCCUGAGAGUAAAUUAGGCACUUUGAAAGGUGCAUUAAACUCUUCCUGGCUACUAGGUACCAUUUAGAACUGUGGGGCAAUAAUUUACUUCAUGGUACCUUGGUGACCUCAAAAAGUUUAUAUUGUUUUGAAAGUUCUUAAUUUUCUCCCACUAAAUAAUUUAUGCAUUCAGAGGUUGGGUGUGCUUAUGUUUCCAGAGAGACAACAGCUAUUGAAUAGCAUAAAUAAGAUAAAAUAGUCAUGCUAGUGUAGAAAUUAAAUGUUCACAAAUGUGUUAUCGAGUCUAUCCAUAGAAUAAAAGUGUAGCUUAUAAAACAAUUAUUGCUUUGGAUUUCAUGUUUUAAAUUUACAAGACUGUGUUACAUUUUGUUGUAAUUAGUAAUGCUUCAUAGCUACAAGGAUUACCAGAUCCAUAUCACUGCAUUUUUCCAUAGCACAAAACACAUUUAUCCAAAGUAAAAAUAGUGUGCUAAACAUACUGAAGUUUCUGACAGACACUUAUAUUUCUCUUCAUUCUUUCAUUCACAGCAGAGUUUCAUCCAUAUUAAAUAAAUUGGUUAAGUUUUGAUACCUCCUACUUUAAUCACUCAUCUUAUGUACUAAAAUGAACCAAAUUAAGUUUGAGCCAACAAAUAAAAGUGAUAUGCUUUGAGUUUUGCUGUCAUUUGGGAUAAUUAAUAAUAAAAAUAAACAUUGCAUUCAUCAAUUCUAAGAAACAAAGACUUUCACAUUUUAAUGUCUCUAAAAUAAGAAGA
rnacentral:lncRNA from 1 species